rnacentral:sRNA from 1 species
AAUAAUAUGAACUACUUAUGAUUUGAUUUAUGGUAAAAAGAGUAGUGAAGUAACUUCGAUCGUAGUAGUGGGCAUAUUAAACAAUUU